rnacentral:rRNA from 1 species
AGUGGCGGACGGGUGAGUAACGCGUGAGUAACCUGCCUUUCAGAGGGGGAUAACAAUCUGAAAAGAUUGCUAAUACCGCAUGACAUAUUCGGGUCGCAUGGCUUGGAUAUCAAAGGAGCAAUCCGCUGAAAGAUGGACUCGCGUCCGAUUAGCUAGUUGGAGGGGUAACGGCCCACCAAGGCGACGAUCGGUAGCCGGACUGAGAGGUUGAACGGCCACAUUGGGACUGAGACACGGCCCAGACUCCUACGGGAGGCAGCAGUGGGGGAUAUUGCGCAAUGGGGGAAACCCUGACGCAGCAACGCCGCGUGAAGGAAGACGGUUUUCGGAUUGUAAACUUCUUUUGUUAAGGACGAAGAAAGUGACGGUACUUAACGAAUAAGCUCCGGCUAACUAUGUGCCAGCAGCCGCGGUAAUACAUAGGGAGCAAGCGUUGUCCGGAUUUACUGGGUGUAAAGGGUGCGUAGGCGGCAAGGCAAGUCAGAUGUGAAAUGUAAGGGCUCAACCCUUAAGCUGCAUUUGAAACUGUUUUGCUUGAGUGAAGUAGAGGCAGGCGGAAUUCCCGGUGUAGCGGUGAAAUGCGUAGAGAUCGGGAGGAACACCAGUGGCGAAGGCGGCCUGCUGGGCUUUAACUGACGCUGAGGCACGAAAGCGUGGGUAGCAAACAGGAUUAGAUACCCUGGUAGUCCACGCUGUAAACGAUGAUUACUAGGUGU